GAUGAACGCUGGCGGCGUGCCUAAUACAUGCAAGUCGAGCGAACAGACGAGAGUGCUUGCACUCUCUGACGUUAGCGGCGGACGGGUGAGUAACACGUGGGUAACCUACCUAUAAGACUGGGAUAACUUCGGGAAACCGGAGCUAAUACCGGAUAAUAUUUAGCUUCGCAUGAAGCAAUAGUGAAAGACGGUUCUGCUGUCACUUAUAGAUGGACCCGCGGUGUAUUAGCUAGUUGGUGAGGUAACGGCUCACCAAGGCAACGAUACAUAGCCGACCUGAGAGGGUGAUCGGCCACACUGGGACUGAGACACGGCCUAGACUCCUACGGGAGGCAGCAGUAGGGAAUCUUCCGCAAUGGACGAAAGUCUGACGGAGCAAUGCCGCGUGAGUGAAGAAGGUUUUCGGAUCGUAAAACUCUGUUGUAAGGGAAGAACAAGUACGUUAGUAACUGAACGUACCUUGACGGUACCUUACCAGAAAGCCACGGCUAACUACGUG
rnacentral:rRNA from 1 species